rnacentral:rRNA from 1 species
UAAGCGACUAAGCGUACACGGUGGAUGCCCUGGCAGUCAGAGGCGAUGAAGGACGUGCUAAUCUGCGAUAAGCGUCGGUGAGGUGAUAUGAACCGUUAUAACCGGCGAUUUCCGAAUGGGGAAACCCAGUGUGAUUCGUCACACUAUCAUUAACUGAAUCCAUAGGUUAAUGAGGCGAACCGGGGGAACUGAAACAUCUAAGUACCCCGAGGAAAAGAAAUCAACCGAGAUUCCCCCAGUAGCGGCGAGCGAACGGGGAGGAGCCCAGAGCCUGAAUCAGUGUGUGUGUUAGUGGAAGCGUCUGGAAAGGCGUGCGAUACAGGGUGACAGCCCCGUACACAAAAAUGCACAUAUUGUGAGCUCGAUGAGUAGGGCGGGACACGUGGUAUCCUGUCUGAAUAUGGGGGGACCAUCCUCCAAGGCUAAAUACUCCUGACUGACCGAUAGUGAACCAGUACCGUGAGGGAAAGGCGAAAAGAACCCCGGCGAGGGGAGUGAAAAAGAACCUGAAACCGUGUACGUACAAGCAGUGGGAGCCUCUUAAUGGGGUGACUGCGUACCUUUUGUAUAAUGGGUCAGCGACUUAUAUUCUGUAGCAAGGUUAACCGAAUAGGGGAGCCGAAGGGAAACCGAGUCUUAACUGGGCGUUAAGUUGCAGGGUAUAGACCCGAAACCCGGUGAUCUAGCCAUGGGCAGGUUGAAGGUUGGGUAACACUAACUGGAGGACCGAACCGACUAAUGUUGAAAAAUUAGCGGAUGACUUGUGGCUGGGGGUGAAAGGCCAAUCAAACCGGGAGAUAGCUGGUUCUCCCCGAAAGCUAUUUAGGUAGCGCCUCGUGAAUUCAUCUCCGGGGGUAGAGCACUGUUUCGGCAAGGGGGUCAUCCCGACUUACCAACCCGAUGCAAACUGCGAAUACCGGAGAAUGUUAUCACGGGAGACACACGGCGGGUGCUAACGUCCGUCGUGAAGAGGGAAACAACCCAGACCGCCAGCUAAGGUCCCAAAGUCAUGGUUAAGUGGGAAACGAUGUGGGAAGGCCCAGACAGCCAGGAUGUUGGCUUAGAAGCAGCCAUCAUUUAAAGAAAGCGUAAUAGCUCACUGGUCGAGUCGGCCUGCGCGGAAGAUGUAACGGGGCUAAACCAUGCACCGAAGCUGCGGCAGCGACACUAUGUGUUGUUGGGUAGGGGAGCGUUCUGUAAGCCUGUGAAGGUGGCCUGUGAGGGUUGCUGGAGGUAUCAGAAGUGCGAAUGCUGACAUAAGUAACGAUAAAGCGGGUGAAAAGCCCGCUCGCCGGAAGACCAAGGGUUCCUGUCCAACGUUAAUCGGGGCAGGGUGAGUCGACCCCUAAGGCGAGGCCGAAAGGCGUAGUCGAUGGGAAACAGGUUAAUAUUCCUGUACUUGGUGUUACUGCGAAGGGGGGACGGAGAAGGCUAUGUUGGCCGGGCGACGGUUGUCCCGGUUUAAGCGUGUAGGCUGGUUUUCCAGGCAAAUCCGGAAAAUCAAGGCUGAGGCGUGAUGACGAGGCACUACGGUGCUGAAGCGACAAAUGCCCUGCUUCCAGGAAAAGCCUCUAAGCAUCAGGUAACAUCAAAUCGUACCCCAAACCGACACAGGUGGUCAGGUAGAGAAUACCAAGGCGCUUGAGAGAACUCGGGUGAAGGAACUAGGCAAAAUGGUGCCGUAACUUCGGGAGAAGGCACGCUGAUAUGUAGGUGAAGCGACUUGCUCGUGGAGCUGAAAUCAGUCGAAGAUACCAGCUGGCUGCAACUGUUUAUUAAAAACACAGCACUGUGCAAACACGAAAGUGGACGUAUACGGUGUGACGCCUGCCCGGUGCCGGAAGGUUAAUUGAUGGGGUUAGCGGUAACGCGAAGCUCUUGAUCGAAGCCCCGGUAAACGGCGGCCGUAACUAUAACGGUCCUAAGGUAGCGAAAUUCCUUGUCGGGUAAGUUCCGACCUGCACGAAUGGCGUAAUGAUGGCCAGGCUGUCUCCACCCGAGACUCAGUGAAAUUGAACUCGCUGUGAAGAUGCAGUGUACCCGCGGCAAGACGGAAAGACCCCGUGAACCUUUACUAUAGCUUGACACUGAACAUUGAGCCUUGAUGUGUAGGAUAGGUGGGAGGCUUUGAAGUGUGGACGCCAGUCUGCAUGGAGCCGGCCUUGAAAUACCACCCUUUAAUGUUUGAUGUUCUAACGUUGGCCCGUAAUCCGGGUUGCGGACAGUGUCUGGUGGGUAGUUUGACUGGGGCGGUCUCCUCCUAAAGAGUAACGGAGGAGCACGAAGGUUGGCUAAUCCUGGUCGGACAUCAGGAGGUUAGUGCAAUGGCAUAAGCCAGCUUGACUGCGAGCGUGACGGCGCGAGCAGGUGCGAAAGCAGGUCAUAGUGAUCCGGUGGUUCUGAAUGGAAGGGCCAUCGCUCAACGGAUAAAAGGUACUCCGGGGAUAACAGGCUGAUACCGCCCAAGAGUUCAUAUCGACGGCGGUGUUUGGCACCUCGAUGUCGGCUCAUCACAUCCUGGGGCUGAAGUAGGUCCCAAGGGUAUGGCUGUUCGCCAUUUAAAGUGGUACGCGAGCUGGGUUUAGAACGUCGUGAGACAGUUCGGUCCCUAUCUGCCGUGGGCGCUGGAGAACUGAGGGGGGCUGCUCCUAGUACGAGAGGACCGGAGUGGACGCAUCACUGGUGUUCGGGUUGUCAUGCCAAUGGCACUGCCCGGUAGCUAAAUGCGGAAGAGAUAAGUGCUGAAAGCAUCUAAGCACGAAACUUGCCCCGAGAUGAGUUCUCCCUGACCCUUUAAGGGUCCUGAAGGAACGUUGAAGACGACGACGUUGAUAGGCCGGGUGUGUAAGCGCAGCGAUGCGUUGAGCUAACCGGUACUAAUGAACCGUGAGGCUUAACCU